rnacentral:rRNA from 1 species
AUGACUACCUUGGAUACGACCAAAAAUAUUGCAUACAUGCAUAUUUAUCAGAUGAUUUCUAGUGCAAACUAUUCAAUAAUCUAUUUAUGUUAUCCAGAACAAAAAUACUUCACACACUUUUGUGUUUUGUCUAAUUGCAGGUGUAUGGGACAUUUGUACAAUCCACAUAUGAAGAUAGGGGAAAAGGAGAAGUUUAGGUUCUGUUCAAAAAGACUUCUCACGUCACUUUUGGGCCAAGAGAAGAUAGAGUCCAAGUCUCUCACGUUCUGGAUUCAGAUUCGGACUGCACAGACAUACCUGACUCAAAACGCCGACAACUUUUUCAUAUGGACUCCGAAUUGGGUGAUUCUUUUCUUGUUGGAAAGUGGAUUUCGUCCUCUUUCCAACCCAAUUGGAUUCACCUUUAAAUUCGUCCGGAGCGUUGAGAUAUGGACGAAACAAUCUGACGCUGCAGCAGAAUCUGAGUCAAACAACAAGUCCAAAGGUGUUGCAUCACCUCCACUUGGGCCCAUGAGCCUUGUACGACCUAGGGUUGGUUUUAGGCUGCCCUGGGACGUCCUCCCACCUCCUUGGCCGCCACCCCUUGCUCCUAUAUAA